AUGCAGUUUACAUGUUCCUUGCUGUCGCGUCCAACCAAGACAAACUUUUCUCAAGUUGCAACGAACACCAACGGCCUUUGGCUUGCCCUGGCUUGGCUUUGCAAGCAAGCAAGGGAGAAGCGACGGCGAGGGGAGGGGGCCAUCGCCAUGAUUCAUUUCGUUUGGUUCCUUGCUCUCCCAAGCUUCUCUCUCCGGAAGGAAACACGUUUCGGUGAUGCUGCGGUGACCCUUCCCGGCGGGCUGCUACUUGGGUGGGACAAAUGCUUGCUUCUCGCGCUCCUCAACUCAACUCUCAACUCAAUCCUGCCCCGUGCCAAUCCUUGCAAGUUGCGAGGCUAA
rnacentral:rRNA from 1 species